CCUUGGAGCUGGUCAAAAAAUAAUGCCACAAAGCUACCUUUUGGUCAGGGCAUACUACUGAAGGAAAAGGAGGGAUCCAACAGAGACCACAGAGAGAACAAAACCCUGGGAAAUGCAGCACAGGUCAGGGAGGGCAAAGAAGAGUUGCUGGUGGCACCAGAGGCCAUGUCAGAUGCAAAGGACUGUGCUGAGGGUAAAAUAGAUUCCACAAAACAGGGACCCAACUUUCACCCUGUUCUAAAUAACUCUUCAACUACUCAUAAAAACACAGCUCUUGCAGACUGCAUCCCCCGCUUACCUGAAUGUGGUCUAGAUUGUGACAGGACUAACAUGCCAGCUGGGCCUGACACAUCUUCACCAUUGGAAAUUACCAAUGCUCUGCAACGUGUGAAGGAAGACAGCCCACCUUCUGACUCAGCUGACUCUGGCACAGCUGAAGGAUCCCAUGAACAAAGUCCUCAGGAUACUAAACCAGGAGAGAUUCCUGAAAUAUCUCUGUAUGUAUACUGUUCAGAUGAAGAUGACACAGAGCUCACAGAGCCAGAAAAAGAUCCUUUCUUUGCAGGCCAAAAAUGUGUUCCAGAGCAGAAAGCACUGGAAAACAUUCUGCCAUUUUACUCUCCAAAAUUUUCAGCAUCUUGUGAAGUUGAGCCCUCAAUGGAUGAUCAACAGCUAACGGUCCUAAUACCAGCUUCUCGCACAAAGCCACCAACAGAGGCACUGAAUUUAAGAGGCAAAUGUUCUAAGGAAGCCAAAAAAGAAGCAGCAUUUCACAGUAAAGACAAAAUGUCUUCUACUUCCAGCAAAAACGAUAGUUAUGUCCCAAAUAUAGAGGAGGAGGAAAAUAAGACACCCAACAGCCAAAUGCAAAAUGAAUUAAAAACCAUGCAGCCUCAGCCUCCUCAAAUGAAUUUUAGCUCACAAAAUAACUUUAAUGUUUCCAGUGGAGACAUGCAAGUUCCAGACACAAAUCAGAACAAACCUAUACUCUCCUCAAAUGAGAACCUGGAGCCAAAGCCUGGUGCUGCAACAGAAGAGGACACCUGUUCUCCUUUGGAAAAGGCACAAAGCCCUUUUCCAGGUGAUCUUGUGAAGCACAGUUCUUUUAUUUCAGAAGAAGAUUUUGGGAAGGACAAAUUGUCUUCAUCAAAUGAAGUGAUGAAUCAUGCAAACAAUCAAGCCCUGCAAAGGAGUUCCUUAACUGACCUGGAGACCUGCCACAAGCCAUCUGAAUCUGUCAUUGAGCACGAAGAGGACACUGCCGAUGAGAUGCCCUGGCCUGACUCUGAGGCAUGGCAGUCACCCUUGUCAACCCCUUUACCAAUAUCAAUGAGCGGGAUUGCAGGACAAAGUAUCCAUCGCACUCUUAGAAAUCCUCCUGCCCUUCCGCCUCUUGAUCUGGUGGGACAGGGAGCUGGUGCUGUGGAACAUGAGCAUGACAGCCAUGGCUGUGAGAAGCAUCCACACCCCCCUUCAGAUGAAUUGACAAAUGGUGGGAAUGACACAAUGGGGGAGAAGAAAACCGUGUGUGAUUUUAAGAACCAAGCACUCUUCCCAGAUGAUGCAAGAGAAAAUGAAAACUCUACAGACAAAGAGACAAAUACAUGUCACAGACUUGAGAACUGUCUUUCACAUUCAACCACAAAGCCAGGAAAACAUGAAAAUAAAACCCCACUAGCAGGAAAUCCCCCAUUACCCUUGGAGAAGAGCCAAACACCAAUAUUAGAUGAUACCAAAAAGCAAGGAUGUAGUAUGCAAGACGAGAACCCAAGUCCUUCAUCAACUGAAUUGGUCUCAGACCAAAAGAAGGAUGCAAAAAGUAGAAAUAAAAUAUCUGAACACAUAAGGGAUAAGCUCUUCUCCUCAGAUGAUGACAUGAAGCCUGAAAUUGAUAGCAUGGAGACAGAGGAGAAAGAAGAGAGAAAUGUCUUGCAUAAAUUUGAGCAGGAACAAGUAUUCACACCAAAUGAUACUGUGGACCAUGAUAACAACUCUUCAAGGGAGAAUGAUGCUCAUAGUCUUCAAACAUCCCAGUUACCUUCAUCAGAGCAUGAUACCAACAUUCAAGGAGUGAAAAAUACUGGUGAGAGUUUGGAGAAUCUAGCAUCUCCAAGAGAUUUUAUGAAACAUAAAGAGGAUGUGACAGGAGACAAAAACAUCUACUCCAAUAAUAGGAAAAAGCAUCUGGACCCAUCAGAUGAGCCAAUGAAACAUACAAAUGACAGUGAAGGGCUACAAAAUGUCAAGUCAGACUUCAACAAUUAUUCAAUGCCACCAAGACAUACAAGUCAGGACAAUAAGAUGGCUGAUGAGGACAAUACCUCUCUAGAGACACAGAAACAGAUGCCACCAGGUGGCCUUGUAAGGCCUGAAACUAAGCCAGACAAAAAAGAGACUAAACAUAUCUCUGAGAAGUUCCAGUCACCUUCUUCAAACAAAGUGCCAGAUUGUCAAGACAGAAGCUCUUCAGGAGAGAGGAAGCAAAAGACACCAGCAGCAGAAGACACUGGAUCACCUGAAACAGAGGUAGUAAAAGAGGAUAUUGAGCAGCAGUUUUCUGGGAAGCACCAGCUACCUCCACCAAGAAAAUCAGAAAUGCAUGAAGAAAAUAAUCCAGGAGACAAACAGCAAAUGAGAUCUGAAGAUUUUCUGAUACCUGAUACAAAUACUGCAAAAGAGAAAGAAGAACUUCCAAGUUCCAGGAAAUGUUCAUCAGUACCACCAAAAACAUUGGUUAAGCCUCAAGAAAAAAUUACUGCAGAACAAAAGCAAAAAACAUCAGAAUCUUCAGAUUUUAGGAAGCCUGGUACUAAUUCUGUAAAAGAAAAGGAUGAAGAUCUAAAUUCUGAGACGCUGCCUCCUUCAAAUGAAGUGCUGAAGCCACAAGAAAAAAGUGCUUCAAGAGAGAGGAAGCAAAAGACACCAGCAGGAGAGGACAGCAGGUCACCUAAAGAAAAGGCUGUAAAAGAGAAAGAGAAAGAUAAAUACCAAGCUUCUGGUAACCAUCCGUUACCUCCUUCAAGUAAAUUAUUGAAGCCUGAGAAAAAUAUUCCAGGAGGAGAAAAACCAGAAACUGUAUCCGAAAGUUUUACAAAGCCUGAUGCAAAUGCUGUGAAAGAUAAAAGCAAAGAUCCAGCUUCUGGGAUGUGCCAGUCCCCACAUUCAAAUUUGCCUGUGAAGUCUCAAGAAAAUAAUGCCAUAGUCAAAAAGGAGCAUUUACCACCACCACAUGAUGAAAAACCAACGUAUAAAACUGGUAGUCAAGAAAAGAAGAGUGAACCUGAGAGAAGAGAGAAAUACCAGCUAGGCUCUUCAGCUCAGUCAGAGAGGCACAGCAAUGAUGGCUCAGGAGAGGAGGGCCCUGUGGGUGAUUUCAGAAGCUAUCAAGCUCCAUCACCAAGCAAUGGCAUAAACUUUAAAAGCAGUGCUGUCCCAAAAGAGACCAGUUUGUCUAAUACAGAGAAAUCCCCCAAAUCAUUCUCAUCAUCACAUAUUGCAUCAAAAGAUGAGGUAAAUCCUGCUGGAAACAGAGAAAAGCAGCCUGGGUUUAAGAAGUACAAAGCGCUCUCGUCAAAGACUUUGGUGAGGCAUGAGAGAGGUGCUGCUGAAAGGGAGGGGAG
ensembl:lncRNA